rnacentral:rRNA from 1 species
GACGAACCGUGCGAACGUUGUUCGGAAUCACUGGGCUUAAAGGGCGCGUAGGCGGGCCGCCGCGUCCGGGGUGAAAUCCCCCCGCUCAACGGGGGGACGGCCUCGGAUGCGGGCGGCCUGGAGGCGGGUAGGGGCGACGCGGGAACUGUGGGUGGAGCGGUGGAAAUGCGUUGGAGAUCCACAGGAACUCCGGUGGCGAAGGCGGCGUGCUGG